ACACUCCUCUCUCUCACGCCUCUCAUUUCUUUUCUUCUCUUCUUCUUCACUCUUCCCCUAUUCUCCUCUAUUUGUGCAGCAGCCCAGCCCACGUCCCCCUCUCUUUCUUUCCUUUUCUUUUCCUCUCUUCUCUUCCCCUUUUCCCGGUAGCAGCAGCAGCCUUCACCAUUUAUUUUCUCUUCUUCCCCUGCCACGCACAUUCAGCAGCUCGCCUCUUCUCUUUCCCUUCCCUUUCUUCUUCCUCUUGUCUCACUUGCACCCACACAUACACAGCCGGUUGUGAGAGAGAGUUUCUGCCGAGAAGAUGCAGCCCAAAAGAGAAGUAGGAGAAGAAGAAGAAGAAGAAGAAAUGGGUUUCGGCCAUGUACGUCCGGAGAGGGUCGUGUCAUAAUUGGAGACUUCAAUGGGUUCUCUAAUGUUGAGUUCGAGUCGUGAGUCCAAUGCAGCCAAGAUGAUGUUUCUUUGGCUGCAGGUAUUUCGGUCGUAGUAUAUGAUGUUGUAGAAGUAUACUGAGGAUAUUAUGACUGAAGCUCAACGCGACGGUUGUAAUGUGUUAGACCGCGGGAUGUCUAUUCCUUUAGGUAUUUUGAUUAUGGCUUGUGACGCUUGCGCCACAUGGUCUUUGUUAAGCCAUUUAUGUUAUGUAUUUAAUUCGAGGAAAGAUUUAAUCAUGUAGUUAUUUAAUGACUCUUUGUUGUAAUUAUUUGUGAUAAAUGUAUAAGAUGUGAUUUCCGCUAUUAGGUUAUGUUUUCCGCUGCAUAGUUGAUAGAUGUUAUACUCUGAUUUGCCAGGUACAUAUUAUGGGGUAUGUACAUAUGUUGGCUUUGCGACA